rnacentral:rRNA from 1 species
UGGGGAAUAUUGGACAAUGGGCGCAAGCCUGAUCCAGCCAUGCCGCGUGUGUGAAGAAGGCCUUUUGGUUGUAAAGCACUUUAAGCGAGGAGGAGGCUACUUGGAUUAAUACUCUAAGAUAGUGGACGUUACUCGCAGAAUAAGCACCGGCUAACUCUGUGCCAGCAGCCGCGGUAAUACAGAGGGUGCGAGCGUUAAUCGGAUUUACUGGGCGUAAAGCGUGCGUAGGCGGCUUCUUAAGUCGGAUGUGAAAUCCCUGAGCUUAACCUAGGAAUUGCAUUCGAUACUGGGAAGCUAGAGUAUGGGAGAGGAUGGUAGAAUUCCAGGUGUAGCGGUGAAAUGCGUAGAGAUCUGGAGGAAUACCGAUGGCGAAGGCAGCCAUCUGGCCUAAUACUGACGCUGAGGUACGAAAGCAUGGGGAGCAAACAGG